CGACAAAAUGCACAAACCUGUGGUAGGUGAUAUUUUAAAGGGGUAUGAACCAAUUUCUGUUGAUUUGGGAUAUUUUCUUAAUAAGCUGUAUUUAAUAGGUGUGUUUACUCCAUCAACGUAAGCGUGAACAGUCAGCACCAAUGUGUACUUUGGAAUGGUCUGUGAAAUUUUCUUGCUGUAUGCUUGUCUUCUGAAUGCUAUCUUGUACGCUGUGAGAAAGAAAUAACAUCAGAUAACUCUCAUGUU
rnacentral:lncRNA from 1 species